rnacentral:lncRNA from 1 species
GGAGGGGCAGCCUCUAGAAGCAGAGAGUGGCCCCUGGCUGACUGCUGGCAAGGGUACCUCAAUCCUACAACUACAAGGAACUAAAUUCUGCCAACAGCUUGGAUAAGCUUGGAAGAAGAUUUUUCCACAGAUCCUUCAGAUAAGAGUUAGGUUCAGCCUUCUGAAGAAUUUGAGAAUCCAUCAUUGCACUGGAAAAUGGAACAAAAAGUCGACUUCAAAGGACCUUGCCCACAAAAGACACCAGAAUGGUGGGUCAUCUGGCAGGGCGAGGCUGGAAUAUGUGGGAGGUGAGGUAGGGGCUGAGAAGGAAUACGGAAGACAGAGCUUCUGGGUACACACCAGCCUGUGUAACGUAGGCGGGAAAGAAAUGUUUUUUACCUGCUGAACUCUGUGCUCAUGAUAGGAUUCUGAUAAGACUGUUCUUUUUGGUAAUGUUCUAUAUGUGUAUACUCUUCCAGACAUUGAGAGGCAUAACGGCAGGGUUAUAACAAUUUAGCAUUUCUGACUUUUCCUCAUGCAUAUUAUUUAUUUAACAAAUAUUUAAUGAAUAUUAUUAAAUGCGA